UACGUAGGGGGCGAGCGUUGUCCGGAUUUAUUGGGCGUAAAGAGCGUGUAGGCGGCCAGGUAGGUCUGCUGUGAAAACUCGAGGCUCAACCUCGAGACGUCGGCGGAAACCAUCUGGCUAGAGUCCGGAAGAGGAGAGUGGAAUUCCUGGUGUAGCGGUGAAAUGCGCAGAUAUCAGGAAGAACACCCGUGGCGAAGGCGGCAUCCUGGACCGGUAUUGACGCUGAGGCGCGAAAGCUAGGGGAGCAAACGGG
rnacentral:rRNA from 1 species